AUUGAACGCUGGCGGCAGGCCUAACACAUGCAAGUCGAACGGUAACAGGAAGCAGCUUGCUGCUUUGCUGACGAGUGGCGGACGGGUGAGUAAUGUCUGGGAAACUGCCUGAUGGAGGGGGAUAACUACUGGAAACGGUAGCUAAUACCGCAUAACGUCGCAAGACCAAAGAGGGGGACCUUCGGGCCUCUUGCCAUCGGAUGUGCCCAGAUGGGAUUAGCUUGUUGGUGGGGUAACGGCUCACCAAGGCGACGAUCCCUAGCUGGUCUGAGAGGAUGACCAGCCACACUGGAACUGAGACACGGUCCAGACUCCUACGGGAGGCAGCAGUGGGGAAUAUUGCACAAUGGGCGCAAGCCUGAUGCAGCCAUGCCGCGUGUAUGAAGAAGGCCUUCGGGUUGUAAAGUACUUUCAGCGGGGAGGAAGGGAGUAAAGUUAAUACCUUUACUCAUUGACGUUACCCGCAGAAGAAGCACCGGCUAACUCCGUGCCAGCAGCCGCGGUAAUACGGAGGGUGCAAGCGUUAAUCGGAAUUACUGGGCGUAAAGCGCACGCAGGCGGUUUGUUAAGUCAGAUGUGAAAUCCCCGGGCUCAACCUGGGAACUGCAUCUGAUACUGGCAAGCUUGAGUCUCGUAGAGGGGGGUAGAAUUCCAGGUGUAGCGGUGAAAUGCGUAGAGAUCUGGAGGAAUACCGGUGGCGAAGGCGGCCCCCUGGACGAAGACUGACGCUCAGGUGCGAAAGCGUGGGGAGCAAACAGGAUUAGAUACCCUGGUAGUCCACGCCGUAAACGAUGUCGACUUGGAGGUUGUGCCCUUGAGGCGUGGCUUCCGGAGCUAACGCGUUAAGUCGACCGCCUGGGGAGUACGGCCGCAAGGUUAAAACUCAAAUGAAUUGACGGGGGCCCGCACAAGCGGUGGAGCAUGUGGUUUAAUUCGAUGCAACGCGAAGAACCUUACCUGGUCUUGACAUCCACGGAAGUUUUCAGAGAUGAGAAUGUGCCUUCGGGAACCGUGAGACAGGUGCUGCAUGGCUGUCGUCAGCUCGUGUUGUGAAAUGUUGGGUUAAGUCCCGCAACGAGCGCAACCCUUAUCCUUUGUUGCCAGCGGUCCGGCCGGGAACUCAAAGGAGACUGCCAGUGAUAAACUGGAGGAAGGUGGGGAUGACGUCAAGUCAUCAUGGCCCUUACGACCAGGGCUACACACGUGCUGCAAUGGCGCAUACAAAGAGAAGCGACCUCGCGAUAGCAAGCGGACCUCAUAAAGUGCGUCGUAGUCCGGAUUGGAGUCUGCAACUCGACUCCAUGAAGUCGGAAUCGCUAGUAAUCGUGGAUCAGAAUGCCACGGUGAAUACGUUCCCGGGCCUUGUACACACCGCCCGUCACACCAUGGGAGUGGGUUGCAAAAGAAGUAGGUAGCUUAACCUUCGGGAGGGCGCUUACCACUUUGUGAUUCAUGACUGGGGUG
rnacentral:rRNA from 1 species